rnacentral:rRNA from 1 species
UACGAGGGGGGCAAGCGUUGUUCGGAAUUAUUGGGCGUAAAGGGUGCGUAGGCGGUUUUGUAAGUCUUGUGUGAAAUCUUCAGGCUCAACUUGAAGACUGCACGAGAAACUGCAGGGCUUGAGUGUGGGAGAGGUGAGUGGAAUUCCUGGUGUAGCGGUGAAAUGCGUAGAUAUCAGGAGGAACACCUGUGGCGAAGGCGGUCUUCUGGACGGUGACUGACGCUGAGGCGCGAAAGCGUGGGGAGCAAACGGG